UAACAUUUUGAACCGCAUGGUUCGAAAUUGAAAGGCGGCUUCGGCUGUCACUUAUGGAUGGACCCGCGUCGCAUUAGCUAGUUGGUGAGGUAACGGCUCACCAAGGCAACGAUGCGUAGCCGACCUGAGAGGGUGAUCGGCCACACUGGGACUGAGACACGGCCCAGACUCCUACGGGAGGCAGCAGUAGGGAAUCUUCCGCAAUGGACGAAAGUCUGACGGAGCAACGCCGCGUGAGUGAUGAAGGCUUUCGGGUCGUAAAACUCUGUUGUUAGGGAAGAACAAGUGCUAGUUGAAUAAGCUGGCACCUUGACGGUACCUAACCAGAAAGCCACGGCUAACUACGUGCCAGCAGCCGCGGUAAUACGUAGGUGGCAAGCGUUAUCCGGAAUUAUUGGGCGUAAAGCGCGCGCAGGUGGUUUCUUAAGUCUGAUGUGAAAGCCCACGGCUCAACCGUGGAGGGUCAUUGGAAACUGGGAGACUUGAGUGCAGAAGAGGAAAGUGGAAUUCCAUGUGUAGCGGUGAAAUGCGUAGAGAUAUGGAGGAACACCAGUGGCGAAGGCGACUUUCUGGUCUGUAACUGACACUGAGGCGCGAAAGCGUGGGGAGCAAACAGGAUUAGAUACCCUGGUAGUCCACGCCGUAAACGAUGAGUGCUAAGUGUUAGAGGGUUUCCGCCCUUUAGUGCUGAAGUUAACGCAUUAAGCACUCCGCCUGGGGAGUACGGCCGCAAGGCUGAAACUCAAAGGAAUUGACGGGGGCCCGCACCAGCGGUGGAGCAUGUGGUUUAAUUUGAAGCAACGCGAAGAACCUUACCAGGUCUUGACAUCCUUUGACAACCCUAGAGAUAGGGCUUUUCCUUUGGGAGCAGAGUGACAGGUGGUGCAUGGUUGUUGUCAGCUCGUGUCGUGAGAUGUUGGGUUAAGUCCCGCAACGAGCGCAACCCUUGAUUUUAGUUGCCAUCAUUAAGUUGGGCACUUUAAGGUGACUGCCGGUGACAAACCGGAGGAAGGGGGGGAAGACGUCAAAUCAUCAUGCCCCUUAUGACCUGGGCUACACACGUGGUACAAUGGACGGUACAAAGAGGUGCAAGACCGCGAGGUGGAGCUAAUUUCAUAAAACCGUUUUCAGUUCGGAUUGUAGGGUGCAACUUGCCUACAUGAAGCUGGAAUCGCUAG
rnacentral:rRNA from 1 species